GGUGGGCAUGGCUGAAAAUUAAAACAACUCUAUCCCCUCCCUUCCAGCGACGACUAAUACCAGGAGCUCGUGGCUAUGGAGAUGGCGACCGCCGGAGAUGGUGAAGUGGAUUUCUUGUCAGAUCCAGUCGACAGAUUUCCCCUGCCGGAUCUCGCCGGACCAGAGCCCUUGGUGGCGUACGACACAUACCAAGCGCUUGUGUGUGCGCCCGCUGAGUCCAGCAUUGGUGAUGCCGGAGAUGCUCCGACGAAUUCCCAAUUAGAGUUGAACAACCCCUGCGAUGGAAAUGCCCUGUUGGCACCAGCCGCUGAACGAUCUGCAGGCAAAACCAACGCUCAAGCCCCAGGCUGAACGAAGAGAAUACGUGUCGGACGUUCCCCAACUGAACGUCCCCCUUGUGCUGCCAUGAUGAGUGCCUUGGAAGCAACACUGCGAAGCUAUGCAGAAAAAAAGACUAACAUUGUGAUAGUUCCUGCUGUGGGAAGCAACUUUGAUUCACUGGGAGAAGCCUAAGAUUACUACAAUCUCUAUACCUGGGAGAUUGGCUUUGGAGUAAGAUAUGGAAAGAGCAGGCUAAAUGUCAAAAGAACAAAAUGUAUGCAGGAGAUAGUUUGUGGCUGCUCCGGGAUCCCAAAAAAGAGUAACAUAAGGACUUGCCGCUGCAGAUGUCCUGCAAUGAUAAGAUUGCUUCGAUCAAGCGACAAUGGGUGGUACAUAAAUGAGUAUAGGCCAGAUCACAACCAUGCAUUGACAGAAAAAUAUGGUGAGAAGGUAUACUAGCCUUCGCACAAGCAUAUUAAUAUAUACACACGUGAUGUUAUUAAACAGCUCCGUGAAAACAAUAUUAGCAUCGGCAAAGUCUAUAAUAUUAUUGGGAGCUUCUUCGGAUCGAUGACCAAUGUACCAUUCAGCAAGAGAGCAUUGCGAGGUCUCUGUGGUAAGAUCAUUCGAGAGCAAGCAGACAAUGAUGUUAAGAAGACUGUCGAUGUUUUUGCUGAGCUGGGAGCAAAGGAUUCUGGUUUGUACUACAGAGUAGAACCUGAUCAAGAUAGCAGGAUACGGAAUUUGUUAUGGUCAACAGGAGCCAGCCGAGCACAGUACCACUAUUUUGGAGAUGCAAUUACAUUUGAUACAACAUACCGCACAAACAUGUAUGACAUGCCCUAUGGAUUAUUUGUCGGAGUAAACAACCACUUUCAGAGCAUCAUUUUUGGUGGUGUGCUAGUCAGGGAUGAAACAGAGGAGAGUUUUGAGUGGGUAUUCACUGAAUUCAUCCGCAUGAUGGGUGGGAAGCAUCCACAGACAAUACUCACUGAUCAGUGCAGAGCGAUGGAAUUAGCUAUAAAGAAAGUGAUGCCAGACACUACUCACUGAUGGUGCAAAUGGCAGUGCUCAAGCAAAGAAUAUCUUGGCCCACAUUACACAAAGCGCAGCAAAUUCAGGUAGCACCCGUCAUGAAAUGGAACACGCCACUCGAGCUGCAUGCAAGCAAGAUCUACACGCGAGCCAUCUUCGAAAAGUUUGGAGAAGUCAUAUAUGAAGCAGGACAAUACAGGGUGGAGGAGAUUGGUAAAGGUAAAACAUAUGUGGCCAGACGAUACCAUCCAGAAAAGCAUGAGAAAUGGUGCAGGAUACUAUACAAAGUGGAAGUUGUUGAUGAAGGAGCAGAAAUCAUACGUGAGUGUGGCAACUUUGAACACACUGGACUCCUAUGUUGUCAUGCUGUCAAGGUACUUGAUUUCAUUGGCAUAGACCAUAUACCUGUGAAGCACAUUGUGAAACGCUGGACAAAGGAUGCAAGAGAUGUGCUGCCGGCCCACCUAUCAUACCUUCAGAGGGAUAGCAUUUCAGUAAAUUCAGUAACAUUCAGACAUGCAAAUCUGUACACACAUGCACUCGAAGUAGUGAGAUUAGGGUAUAGAAAUCCAGAAGCAUAUGAGUGCAUGAUGGAGAUGCUUAAGAUAACAAUGGAUAAAGUGACACCCAUUGCUGGUGUUCGUGAUGGCCUGGGACUGGAAGACCGGAAUCAACAACUUAAUAAUAAAGGUAAAGAAAUUAUACUAGCAAUAGAGCACCGAAGUGGCACCGCAAGUGAUGCAUAAGGCAGUGCAAUUAGGGAUUUCAUAGGAUUAAAAGCUCCAGAACGGAAAAGGAAGGAUGGCCGACCAACCACCAGCAGAGAUAAACCUCCAUAUGAUGACUGAGGCGGGAGAAGCAACAAGUUCAGGCGACAGUCAGCUGCAGAGGAUGCUGAAAAAUGCGGCACAAGCAAACGAACACGCUUCUGCAGCAUGUGCCGAGCACCAGGACACAAGAGCACAACUUGUCCACAAAGAGGAGAUCUUCCACCAAAAGAAAGAAAAGAGGCGAAAUGCUCAAAUUGUGGCGUCGGUGGGCACAGGAGAAACACCUGCAGCAACCCAAAACUUGUCCUGCAUGUUGUCGAGAAGACUACUUUGGGAACAAUCGGAAAUUGUUAAUGUCUCCACAGUUAGUACUAAAUCAAAUUUCUGUACUAGUAUGCAGCAUCCGUUUGUGAGUGUUGCCUGUGACAUGUUGUUAUGUUUCCAUCAGCACCUCGACUAUCUCAUAAGUUUGUUAAACGUUU